UGGGCUAGUCACAUCCGGUGAUUGAACCGGAGUAUUCCAUUUAUCCACAGAAUGAGUUCUGUACUUCCGGCGGCAGAGCAGGCCUGCCCACAGUACCCUGCCAGCGUAUUUACACCCUGACCUGGAGGGACCAGCUAAGGGUGAGAAUGUGAUUCACUCUCCAUGCUCAUCCCAUGUGUGUUUGAU
rnacentral:sRNA from 1 species